GUCAAGUCAUCAUGGCCCUUAUGACCAGGGCUACACACGUGCUACAAUGGCCAGUACAAAGGGUCGCCAACCCGCGAGGGGGAGCCAAUCCCAUAAAGCUGGUCGUAGUCCGGAUCGCAGUCUGCAACUCGGCUGCGUGAAGUCGGAAUCGCUAGUAAUCGUGAAUCAGCGAUGUCACGGUGAAUACGUUCCCGGGUCUU
rnacentral:rRNA from 1 species